rnacentral:rRNA from 1 species
CUGGAGCGCUUAGAAGUGAGAAUGCCGGUAUGAGUAGCGAAAGACAGGUGAGAAUCCUGUCCACCGAAUGACUAAGGUUUCCUGGGGAAGGCUCGUCCGCCCAGGGUUAGUCGGGACCUAAGCCGAGGCCGACAGGCGUAGGCGAUGGAUAACAGGUUGAUAUUCCUGUACCCGUUGUUUUUGUUUGAGCAAUGGAGGGACGCAGGAGGCUAAGGAAUGCAGACGAUCGGAAAUGUCUGUCCAAGCAGUAAGUCUGAAGAGGAGUCAAAUGCUUCUUUUCUUAAGGACAAGCUGUGAUGGGGAGGGAAAUAAUAGUACCGAAGUUCCUGAUGUCACACUGCCGAGAAAAGCUUCUAGUGAGAAAACAGCGGCCCGUACCGCAAACCGACACAGGUAGUCGAGGAGAGAAUCCUAAGGUGAGCGAGAGAACUCUCGUUAAGGAACUCGGCAAAAUGACCCCGUAACUUCGGGAGAAGGGGUGCUGAUCAUACGAUCAGCCGCAGUGAAUAGGCCCAAGCGACUGUUUAUCAAAAACACAGGUCUCUGCAAAAUCGUAAGAUGAAGUAUAGGGGCUGACGCCUGCCCGGUGC